AUGCUCGGUGCUCGGCGCCGGCCCUGGCUGCCCCCCGCGCGGUCCGCUGCCCCCUGUCGGCUCGCGUCCGCCUCGGCCGCCCCGGCCCCCCCGCUUGCACGGCCGCAGGUUCCAGCCCGCAGAGCCCGGCUGGCGCGUCCCGGCCGCGGGGACUCGGUGGCGCAGAGCCGGGGUGUUCUGCGGGCUUCGGCCCUCUUCGCUCAGCGGGGUGUUUGGUUCGCGGCCCCAGCGGAGCCGCGAAACCCGGGGGCCGGGGGUGGGGCCGGCCGGGGCCCUGGGGGGCCGCCCUGCUCCGGUCCCCGCCGCCGGUUCCUCGGCGCCACUUUCGCCAGCAGCGUCCGGGUGCGGACUGCGGGGCCUCCGGCCAGCCCAGGGCACCGUCGCGGCCCCCGGGUCGGGCCCUGGCCCCGCCCAGGGCCGCCAGCGCCGGCCUUGUGGUGCCCGCACUUCCCAGCCCUCCCGGAGCCGCCCUCCGGCCGGGACGCGAGCCGCCGGCGCGAGUCACAGCUCGGACCCGGGCCGCGUCUCGGCGUCUGCCAGCGGGGACGCUUCUCAGCCGCAGCACCGCCGGCCGCACAGCGCGGGUUCUCGCGGCCAGCACCGCCGCUCUGGCCCCGUUGGCAUCUCUCCGGCCACGCCGCCCGGGCCCUGUCAAGGUGCAGCUUCCCUCCUGUCACCGACCGGCUCUCUCGGGGGCGGCUGCGCGGCGCUCGGUCCCCGAGCCGGUCGAGACGAGCCCGCGCGCUCCCUUUCCCCGCGAGCGCGGCGACGUCCCCGCCUGCCCCCUCCCCCGACCUUAGGACGGGCACCGCUGGAGCCGCGGGGCUCGGUCUCGGGGGCUCCAGACCUCGCCGUCCUCGUCGACCUCUUCCCUUUAGCAAAUGUGGACUGCGCGGCGCGGGGCGCGGGAUUUCCUGGUCGCCGCAAGUCGGGCUCGGUCGCUCCACAGCUUGUACAAAUCGGGGAAACCGGCGAAGGACAUUUCUCAGCCGCAGCAGAUCCCGCUUAGGGAGAUCAAGGGCUUUGCCACGCCCGCAACACCUUAGGAAAAGGAGUCCACGUGGACUCUGGGCAAAUCGGUAUUUAAUCCUGCCUUGGAGAUUUCUCCCUCCCACCAGAUCCCAGUUUAGAGAUUAG
rnacentral:lncRNA from 12 species